GACGAACGCUGGCGGCGUGCUUAACACAUGCAAGUCGAACGGAAAGGCCCUGCUUUUGUGGGGUGCUCGAGUGGCGAACGGGUGAGUAACACGUGAGUAACCUGCCCUUGACUUUGGGAUAACUUCAGGAAACUGGGGCUAAUACCGGAAAGGAGCUCCUGCUGCAUGGUGGGGGUUGGAAAGUUUCGGCGGUUGGGGAUGGACUCGCGGCUUAUCAGCUUGUUGGUGGGGUAGUGGCUUACCAAGGCUUUGACGGGUAGCCGGCCUGAGAGGGUGACCGGCCACAUUGGGACUGAGAUACGGCCCAGACUCCGACGGGAGGCAGCAGUGGGGAAUAUUGCACAAUGGGCGGAAGCCUGAUGCAGCAACGCCGCGUGCGGGAUGACGGCCUUCGGGUUGUAAACCGCUUUCGCCUGUGACGAAGCGUGAGUGACGGUAAUGAGUAAAGAAGCACCGGCUAACUACGUG
rnacentral:rRNA from 1 species